rnacentral:lncRNA from 1 species
CUUCUGCUUCCAUGGAUCCUUCUUCAUACUUUCAUGUUGACUCUCCUCCCAUUCUGGAGAUUAUCUCCUUGUUAGUCUUCCUUCCUCACUAGUCUACUUUCCUUCCUCACUGGUCUACUUUCCUUCCUCUCUAGUCUACCUUCCUUCCUUACUCGUCUACCUUCUUUCCUUAUUAGUCACUUUCUUACCAGUCUUCCUUCCUUACUAGUCUAUCUUCUUUCCUCACUCGUCUACCUUCUUUCCUUAUUAGUCACUUUCUUACCAGUCUUCCUUCCUUACUAGUCUACCUUCUUUCCUCACUCGUCUACCUUCUUUCCUUAUUAGUCACUUUCUUACCAGUCUUCCUUCCUUACUAGUCUACCUUCUUUCCUCACUCGUCUACCUUCUUUCCUUAUUAGUCACUUUCUUACCAGUCUUCCUUCCUUACUAGUCUAUCUUCUUUCCUCACUCGUCUGCCUUCUUUCCUUAUUAGUCACUUUCUUACCAGUCUUCCUUCCUUUUCUGUCUUCUUUCCUUACUCGUCUGCCUUCUUUCCUUAUUAGUCACUUUCUUACCAGUCUUCCUUCCUUACUAGUCUAUCUUCUUUCCUCACUCGUCUACCUUCUUUCCUUAUUAGUCACUUUCUUACCAGUCUUCCUUCCUUUUCUGUCUUCUUUCCUCACUCGUCUGCCUUCUUUCCUUAUUAGUCACUUUCUUACCAGUCUUCCUUCCUUACUAGUCUAUCUUCUUUCCUCACUCGUCUACCUUCUUUCCUUAUUAGUCACUUUCUUACCAGUCUUCCUUCCUUACUAGUCUAUCUUCUUUCCUCACUCGUCUGCCUUCUUUCCUUAUUAGUCACUUUCUUACCAGUCUUCCUUCCUUACUAGUCUAUCUUCUUUCCUCACUCGUCUGCCUUCUUUCCUUAUUAGUCACUUUCUUACCAGUCUUCCUUCCUUACUAGUCUGUCUUCUUUCCUCACUCGUCUACCUUCUUUCCUUAUUAGUCACUUUCUUACCAGUCUUCCUUCCUUACUAGUCUAUCUUCUUUCCUCACUCGUCUACCUUCUUUCCUUAUUAGUCACUUUCUUACCAGUCUUCCUUCCUUACUAGUCUAUCUUCUUUCCUCACUCGUCUGCCUUCUUUCCUUAUUAGUCACUUUCUUACCAGUCUUCCUUCCUUACUAGUCUGUCUUCUUUCCUCACUCGUCUGCCUUCUUUCCUUAUAGGCCUUCCUUCCUUGUGAUUACCCAGGGCUUGAUGGAAGGAGCCACAUUCUGUUUAGCUUUAAUUCCCAAUGUUUUAUACAAUACGUGGGAAGUUAAAUGGGUCUGCAAUGAAUGAACAGAGAUGUGAAAUACUGCACGUAUAUCAUCCCCACCCCAACCUCCCAAAGAAUGGUCAUUUGCUGUGCUUGGAGC